AUCCAGAUGACGAGUCCCAAAUAGGACGAAGUGUGCAUCCUGGAU
rfam:Trichobilharzia regenti genome assembly, scaffold: TRE_scaffold0041355